UUUAUAUCGUGACACACGUCGCUUUAUAGUCGAUUUAAAAAAAUAUAUAUAUACUGUAUCUUUAUUUUAUUUCUCAUUCAAUGUUCAGACACUUGUUUUGGUGCAUCCAGUAAUUUGGUUUCGCAUUUUGUGAGGCUCAUAAAAUUAAUGGGAAAACUCAUUCUACUUGAGUUUUUUUUUUUUCAUCUCCAGACUUUAACACUUAGUUAAGGGUGGAGGGAUCUUACCACACCACAACCCUUAGCGUGAUAGUUUUCUAUAUUUAGAAGCAAUUUAUUUUUAAACUUUUUUUCCCCUUAAUAAAAUGAUUUAUAUGCGUUGAAGUAUAUGAUACAUUUCGUAUCACAAAUUUUAAGUCAUCAAGAAUAAGUAGUCACAUCAAUAGAUAGAAAUAGGAGAUUUUGCCUUGAGAUACACUCUCUAUCUCUUUCGAUCUAUCAAAAAGAUCAGGCUAUCAAUCGAUUUGAAAAUAGCAUGCUUCUCUCGCUUCUUGUUCGUUUGUAUCCGAAAAUAUAGCUACUGUAUAUAAUAAGAAGCAGUAGCAAAGUAGCCAGAAGUACAUAAUCACAUAACUUAGAACGGAGGGAGUACUAUAUUGAUAUUUCUGUUAAUUAUAAUGUCUUUUUUCUUGUCUUUGUGAUGUGCCAAAACAGUCUUCAAGAGACCUUACUGUGAUCAGUUUAUGAGGUUUUGCCUUGAAAGAUUUGAAGUGGGGCUGUGGUCGUCUGCUAUAGAUCGAAACGUGGAGCCUAUAUUUUCGACAACAUCAUGGUUGGCCUUCGAAGGAAGUUGCUAACUUGCUAUUUGAAUGGGAUCAAGAUAAUUGUAUUGACAGUGGUUUUUCAACUAUGGAGAAGAAGAAUAAGCCAAUUUUCUUGAAGCAGCUGAGUAAACUAUGGGAAAAUAAUUUUCGUGGUGGAAGAUUUUCAAAAGCCAACACAGUAUUGACUGAUGAUGAGCCACAUGCUGCUCUACUUAACCCUCCUAAUACAGCGGCGUUUCCUCCAGCUUACAAAGUUAGAAAUCGCAGACACACAUUUCUUGGUAACUUAUCCUUGAUAUUCAGUACAGUUGGUAACCUCGAAACCAAGGCAAAUAACCUGUUUCUAUAGACCAACAAGUUCUUAAGCUGUAAGAACUUACGGUAAAAUUUGAUAUAUACAUUAAAUUGGGACUAGUGGUUGUACCUGCUGAAUCGUUGAUAUACAUGACCAACUCUUGAUAAAUUUUUUUGGUAGGUCCUAAGGGCGAAAUGCAGGAGUUUCGGGAGUGGCUAGUUGAUGCAAAUGAUGUUCCAGCGUAUGUGAAAGGACAUCCCUUUGGACAACCUGCGAUAACAGACUCUCAUCCGGAUUGGGAUUACUAGUCUGGGAUAGUUUGUGCAACGGAAACUCCUGACGUUGGCUUCUCUGAUUAUGAAUCUGAUUAUUACUCUGAUUAGGCUUCUAGUUACUAUUAUGUCAAAAACCAUAAGUAAAUCUCUUCUUAGUAGUUGUAAGCUUGCAAGUGGCAUGUCUUUGUGGUUUUAUGUGCCUAUGGGCCAAUGAUAUAACUAUGUUUACCUAAAGUUUCAAGUACCUAUGUUGACAAUG